rnacentral:lncRNA from 1 species
CACGAGGUGCAGGGCCUGAAGCAGCUCGUCCUGCAGUACCAGGAGCAGCUGAGGACUCUCGAGGUGACGGUCGACCCCUCCCUCCUCGCCCCUAGGCCCUUCCUUUCGGCAAAUUCACACAUCCUUUUCUGUUUGAUGAUAUAUGAACUGAAGAAUCUACUUUUGUGUCGCAGAUCAACAACUACGCGCUGCAGAUGCAUCUGAAGCAGGCCCAGCAGAGCAGCUCCAUGCCCGGGCGCUACAACCCGGACGUCUUCUAAUUUGGCCUCAGGGCGAUGAUGAUGAGCCCUGGCCCUUGGGGAUUGAGAGUUGAGACUAGUGGUGCCCUGCCGUAUGAUGAUGAUGAAGAUGACUAGAAAAUGUUGUUGUCUGGGAUAGUUGGGUGGAUGUUGGUUUGCUGACCACCCCGUUGGCCGUGGGAUGGGGCGCAAGGCUCCCAUGAUAGAUCAUGUGUUGGUUCAAACGUGUCGCGUUUAAACGAUUUUUCGUAUUUGAUAUAUACACAAAACAAUCCCGAUUCUUUGCAUGAUUGUCAUUCAGUCUGAAACUUGCCUAUUUUCC